rnacentral:rRNA from 1 species
AGGGUUUGAUCAUGGCUCAGAACGUACGCUGGCGGCACGCCUAACACAUGCAAGUCGAACGAAGUAGCAAUACUUAGUGGCAGACGGGUGAGUAACAUGUAGGUAUCUGCCCUUUGGCCUGGAAUAACACGAGGAAACUUGUGCUAAUACCGGAUAAGUCUUUACGGAGAAAGCUUUAUGCACCAUUGGAUGAGCCUGCACUUGAUUAGUUUGUUGGUGGGGUAAUGGCCUACCAAGACUUUGAUCAAUAGCUGAUUUGAGAGGAUGAUCAGCCACAUUGGGACUGAGACACGGCCCAAACUCCUACGGGAGGCAGCAGUGGGGAAUCUUGCACAAUGGAGGAAACUCUGAUGCAGCGAUGCCGCGUGAGUGAAGAAGGCCUUUGGGUUGUAAAGCUCUUUCGUCGGGGAAGAAAAUGACUGUACCCGAAUAAGAAGGUCCGGCUAACUUCGUGCCAGCAGCCGCGGUAAUACGAAGGGACCUAGCGUAGUUCGGAAUUACUGGGCUUAAAGAGUUCGUAGGUGGUUGAAAAAGUUGGUGGUGAAAUCCCAGAGCUUAACUCUGGAACUGCCAUCAAAACUUUUCAGCUAGAGUUUGAUAGAGGAAAGCAGAAUUUCUAGUGUAGAGGUGAAAUUCGUAGAUAUUAGAAAGAAUACCAAUUGCGAAGGCAGCUUUCUGGAUCAUUACUGACACUGAGGAACGAAAGCAUGGGUAGCGAAGAGGAUUAGAUACCCUCGUAGUCCAUGCCGUAAACGAUGUGUGUUAGACGUUGGAAAUUUAUUUUCAGUGUCGCAGCGAAAGCGAUAAACACACCGCCUGGGGAGUACGACCGC